CCAGCUGCCAGGGUUACUGUGCUGGCUCCCCAGCAGCCUCUUGUGUCCUCACAGGUACUACAAGAAGUUCUCCAUUCCUGACUUAGACAGACACCAGCUUCCUCUGGAAGAUUCUGCACUGAGCUUUGCUCACGCCAACUGCACCCUGAUAAUCUCCGUAAGAUUUGCCCAGACUUGACAUCAGGAAGAGGUUUCUCAUCCUCACCCACUUCCCUACCUCCAAGCAUCCCAAAUCCUUGGCGUGCUUGUUGGAGAACAGGCAUCUCCUAUUUAUCUGGGGGGGGAGGGGUGGAGACCAAGAGAGAGCCACACCCCAAAGCUCAGAGGGUGGGGCUGGUGGUAGGGCAGAGUAUGGUGGGGAAGUGGUGAUAAUGUCAAGCCUUAGGUUGUCACCUUGGGUCUACUCCUCCCCAGCCACAGGAGCUGAGCAGGUCCUUCAGACCUGUACACCUAGGUUUCCUCAUGUCCAAGGAGAAUCACGGAGAACCAGAGCAUGUCAAGGGAGGCUAGUAACUGAGCUAUGCUUUCUCCCUG
rnacentral:lncRNA from 1 species